UUAGAGGCCACUUUCUUCAAGUCUCUAAUUUUGCAUAUGAGAAACACUAAGACUCAGCAGAUAAGGAUGGAGGCGACUCAACAUCACACUGAGACAGAUAUGAGCCCUGCAUUUCUGAAUGCCUUGAAAGAAAAACCAGCAAGUUGGGAGGGCCGUGUCUCCUUAUCAUCUUCCAGGAAUUCAAAACCGUGAUUUCCAGUUUCCAAAUGCAACUCAAGCUCCAUCACCCUGUACAUCUUGCACGGUUUCUCCAGCAUAUCCUGAUCGCCACCUCCAGACCCUUCUGAUAGAUUCAUUACCUGAAUCUAUUUGCUAUUUCUUUAUAUGAAUGCAAGAAUGGACUAACACACUGACCAUGGAACAUAGACAGAUGUGAGAAGAUCCAGAAAAGAUGCAGCUCAAUUAAUUAGAAAGGCCUCUGGAAUGGGCACAAGCCAGAUCCUGAACUCCUGCUCUCCCUUGGCUCAACCUCAUCACAGCCAGAAAGGAUGAGAGCUCUUUAAUGAAGUGCAUACAUGUCAGUUUCCCAGGACACAAACCAAAGUAAAGAAGAAUGGAGCAUGCUCCUAUAAAGGAAAAUAAAAGGAGAUCCAUAAAGCAAAUCCAACUCAUGGACACUUACUAAACAUGCACUGUGUUCAUGUAAUGGCUCCAAGAAUCUUAGUGGACAUGGACGGAAGUACACACCUGGAGUGGACCUACAGAAGCUCAGAGUCAAAUGGCAGAAAGAUGAUAUGGGCAUUGAAUACAUUAAAUGAAAAUAAAAGUAAUAAAUCACAAGAGAAGAGAGUAACUGAGGGUGUCACUGGGCAGUACAUUAGCAAUUAAUUACCAGACACCUAUGCAGUUAAAAUGUACUGCUGGCCUUCAAAGGUGAAGGAAUCCAUGGCCUGGAAUGACCAUAAAAAAUUUAUUUUAACAAAAAGACAUGACUGUAGCCUUUUAGGGUAAAGAGAUUUUAACAUUUGAAGAGCAGAGAGACAGGUACAGCAUUGCAGGCUAGGAAAUGUGGGAGUUCAAAAUGGCAGACCAGGAGGAAGGCAAGUUGUGUUUGGGAAAAUUGACUUUAUGGUUAUUAGAAAGACCAUGUAAGCAAGCAGAGAUCAAUUGUGCUAGAAAUGUUUUUCAAAUUGAGCAUCUGGUGUGUGUUAGGCACUGCUCUCGGCACUGGGGAUACAGCUGUGAACAUGAUCAACAAGGACCCUGCAAUCAUGGAGAUUAAAUUAUAGUGAGGCAAACAGAAUAUAAAUAAAUAUACACAUUAGGUGAAAGCCAGACAGCUUCGGGUCUUAUGGAGAGAGUUACUGUUGGAGCAUGUACUAGAGAAUGACUAAAUGGUAACUAUAUGGGAUGGUCGAAGAUGACCUCAAUGAGGAAUCUCUACACUUAGAUAAGACCCAAAUAGCAAGAAUGGUUCUUGUUCUGUAUUAUAAUCAAGAGGAAGAGGAUUUCAGGCAGAGGGAAAAAUGGGAUCCAUGGGCUAAAACAGGUACUUGAAUGAUGUUUUUGAGGAAAUAAAUGAAGAUCAGGGUGGCUAGAGCAUUGUGAUGAAGGUUUACACCAGGUGCUGGCUGGUUUUUAUUCCUAGUGAGAGACAAUUGUUGCAUUUUCAGGGAUUUUGUAAGGCAAUUCAUAUAACGUUGGUAGCUUAUAAUUGACUAUGGUAGGAAUAUUCAUACCUGAGAAAUCGGCAAACACUGUGAAUCAGGACUCCCUCUUUGUCCCCAACCCUCAACUCCCAUUCAGAGAGCCUGUUUUUGAGUAUUUUCUUGCAUACCACAGAGUGAGUAUAAGAAGCAGCUGGAAUAGUAACUAGGAACCAAUCAUCUUAGGCUUUAUAAGGCAGAGAAAGGAAUUUUAAUUUUAGGUGUGUUGGGAAGCCAUUAGUGGGUCUUAUGUAGGAAAUGAAUAUGGUCUGAUUUACAUAUGUAAAGGAUAAUUCUGAGUAUGUUAUGGAACACUUUGUAAAUAGGUAAAAAGAGAAAUAGGAAAAUCAGCUAUUGCAUUAGACUCAGUUAGAAGUGGCAGUGGUUUUGCUAGGGGUUAUAUAAAAGGAAGAAAACUUAAUAAUGUUAGGCCUGACUAUAGGUAGAAUCUAUAGUUUUUACUCAUGAAUUGGAUGUAAGAAUUGAGGAGAAACGAAGAACCAAGUAAAAAUUUUGAGCUUUGGCUUGGGAAACUAGGUAUAUGGUAACGCCAAAAAGAGAGAUGUAGAGAAUUGAUGUAGGAGCAAAGCUGGGCUGGGAAAUUGAGAAAAUUAUACCUGCCUUGUUAAAGUUGAAACACCCACAUGACACUCACCUGGAAGGAUAUUCACACUUGGAUUGUUGGGGAAUAAUAAGAACUAGAGAUACAGUUUGAGGGUCACUGGCAUAGAGAUAGUAAUUAAAACCAGGAUGUCAGUUAUAUCACCUAGGGAUAAUGCAAAGAGAGAGAAAAGCAGGAGAUAAGACAGAUCGAGCAGUGGGAGAAGCCGGCAUUGAAGAAUGAAGAGGAAAACCAGGCGUGUCUAGUGCCAUGAUGCCAAGAGAAAAACCCAGCUCCGAGAAGACAGGAGUUUGUUUGCUAAUGUUAUUGAGGGAUAAAGUAAAAUACGAAGAGAGAAGUAACUUGGACUGGCGGCAAAGCGAUCACCAGUGCUCCUUCUAACUGUGGUGUCGAUAAAGUAAUGUGGACUGGAUGAAGGAGCCUCGUUGGAAUAAACUCAUAUAGGAAUGAUGAUACCGUGUUUACCUACUAAUGGGAAUGACCCUAUUGAAGAGGGAACAUCACGUAUGUUGGGGAGCGGAAAAGUCAAAGUCCUCGAAAAGGCUCCAAGGAUAUAAAGGAUAAGACACAAGGGCCAACACUAAGAGACAAAAUUAAAGCCCUAAGGAGACACUGAAAGAGGCUAAUUGUUUCUACUGCAGCUUUCAUAGUCAGACAUCUCGGAUUCAAUCUUUGCUCUACCAUUUACUAGCAAUGUGACUUUAGGCAAAUUUCUUCAUCUUGCUAAACCUUUGGUUUUUCACCUGUAAAAUGAGGAUAACUAAAAAUGCCUAAUAGGGUUAUUUUUCAGUUUAAAUGAGAUAAUAUGGUUACAAUUCUUAGUAUAGUUCUUGGUUUACAACUGAGUCAAUAAAUGAUACAACUCUUUUAUUAUAAUGAAGCAUAUGGUCUAAUAGAGGUCCUGUCAUCAUCUUCUUUCAGGAAGGGGUAAAUACAGUCACCUACAAGAUAAUGGAAACUAACAAUGGAUACAUUCCUCUAGCCAGUGGAUAUUGCUACUAAGAGAUAGUAAAACUUACAACCAAACCCCUAUAAUGACCAAGAAAGUAAAUAGAUCUUAGAAAUAAACUUGAUUGACUUAAAUGUUGAAUUUUAUCUGUACAUCAAUGUAUAGCAAGGAACAUGAGUGAAAGCUACCCUGAAUCCAAAGACUCAGAAAUAAGGAAGGUAGGCAGUGUAUUUAUGGCCUGGCCAUUUGCCCCAAUGCCUUUAAUCAUCCUGACUCUUGUCCAGGUCUGAGGCCUCUGCUCUUUACUCCUACAAAUUCAUUAUUUUCUAUUGUUUCACCCACAUUCAGUAAUUGAGGGAUUCCUAAGACUUUUAUCAAACAUCUACUAUAAAUUGUUUCCUAUUCUUUGGAAGCUUAGAACAGUAGGAAAGUUUUCUCUUGCAAAUUGUUUUACCUAUUUUAGGAUAAAUUGUGUUGCUAAAUGAAAGGUCAGGGGGCACUGGUUCUUUCUGAGGCUCUCCAAACAAGAUCAACAGAUGAAAUAGAGAGAAUGUAAA
rnacentral:lncRNA from 1 species